ACCAGGACUUCCUGUGUAGGAAGAGAGAUGAGAAACCCAUGGGUUGGAGGUCAGAGUAUGGCAAAAUCCUCCUUCCUCCUUGAUGGAACUGGCCUUUGGAGCAAGAAGCAUCAUCCAUCCAGUUUUAAAGGACAGGAAGGAAGAUGUGACAGGAAGCAGCUUGUAAGAGUGGAGCGAGCCCUGGACUAAGAAUGGAAGUUCCCAGGCUCUAUUCUCAGCAAUGUCUUAGUAACUGUGGGCCAGCGAUUUAUCCUUCCUGGAUGUCUGUGUCUAACUGGAAAUGGGGACAAAUUAUCUCCUGCAUGGUAGAUACAGCAUUCAAAUGUGGGAACACACAUGAAUGAAUUUCAGAAUAAGGCAAAGACCCUCACUGUGUGAUGUUAGAUAAGGUAGUUGAUGUGGUAGCAUGUGGUGUUAGGAAAGUUGUUAAGACUGGAACACUCUUCGUAGAGAGAAUUUUCCGGGACAACACAGCAGAAGCUAGUUGAAGGGUCUGUGAAGUCCCCUGAUGUAUGGAGCGGUGGGCGACAGGGUUGUUUGUCCUUUCCUAGAGAAAGAAAUAGGUUUUAGUGAGAGCUGUGAGGGGAUGUGGAGUCUGUGCCUGGGAAUCAGAUCUGCGGCCAGAGGGGGAAGACAGCUGCUGAAGUCCAGAGAGAAGAUGGACAAGGCUCCAGUGAUAUGAGGGGAAAAAGGCCUUUUUAAUUUGUUCCCAUGUCAUGAUGGUGGUUCUCCAGAUUAGAACCACAUUGCCAGGGCAAAAAACGUGAGAGCUAAAGAUGAAACACGAGGGCUUUCAGUGCAACACUGACUUGUACAUAGAUGUUCAUGUCUCAGUGCUCAUAUAUCUGACUGUGUUUGCAGUGGGUGAAGUGGGAAAUAUCUGAAUGGACACUGCUGCAUUUGUUUGCAGAAAAUGAUGAAGUUGGAAAUGAAGAUGCUAAAGAUGAGAAAGUUGAAAAAGUCCAAGGACCACUUGCCUCCAGAAAAUCAAAAUGAUAAUGAGGAAGAGGAUGGGAAACAGCCAGUGUCCCCCAGAAGCACCUUGUACUCAUUUGAGAAACAGCAAGUCUGCUUGGCUCUUGAUGGGGGAGGAGUGCUCCACUGUGAAUGUGAUAAACAUCCAAAUGAUGUCUCAGGCCCAGCAGGCAGCUGCUGGAGAUGGAAGAACUCGAUGUCUCAGAGGACGCACUGGAUGAAAUUUACUUGACUCCUUCAAUUGAAUAUGACCUAUGUGACUGCCACCAGGCUUACAGUAAGUAGCACCUUGUGCUUAUUGGAGGAACAGCUCGCCUGCUUUGCUAUGGAUGCAGUCUGUGAGUACUUCAUCCCAAAGGUCAUAAAGCUCUACUUGUCUCCCUUCCAGGCAGCCUGUUUAUUUUUUUGUUUCCUGCAAUUUGUGCAGGCUAAGACAUGACAUCCUUGUACUUAGAUUGUCUUGAGUCUGGCUCUUGGAUCCAGUUUUAAACACAGACAUCCAAUGGGUGGAACUUUCCUCUUCUCUUGUCCUAGGUGACUCCGUUGUCACCAGGCACUUUCUCACAAGAGUGGGAUGUGGGUAUCAAGAUAGGCCUGAGAGGGGGAAUGGUGAGGGGCAAUUGCAAAUGUUCAGCCACCUGUAGCUCAGCUGAAGACAUUUGUAUGAAAGACCUCCUUCUUUAAGAUAAGACAUCUCUCUUCGAUGAAAGUAUGUUGCUAAUUGCAUUUCCUGGACAGUACCCUUCACUAUUCUCUGGUCAUCCAGUUGUGCUGGCAGUUUUGCCCAAUUAUUUUGGAGGUCUGUUUUCAUGAUUCCUAUGUCCCAGGCCAGAUUCUUAACUUCUUCUGAGGUGACUUCCCUCCAGCUGAAGCAGGCUAGUGUUCCAUCCUGCCUGCAUGGCCACGGCUUUCAUUCUCUGUGGAGCACCAGUGAUUUUUUUUCCAUGUGUGGGUUUAUAAUUUCAAUCAUGUAUCUGGUCUCAGUGUCAUAGUGUCACGUAAACCAUCACCAAUGAGUGUCCCUGAUGAGGUGCUGGCCUAACUGAUGAGCAAAGCCCAUCCUGUGGUUGGAACCAUGUGGUUCCAUCCCCAUGAUCUCCAGAAGAUCCUUCCUGUUGAGUGGGCACCCUAUGGGGCAGCAGCUUCACAGGGUGUGUGGAGAAAAAAUCCAAUUUUCAUUUCUUCUCACUCAUUCGAUUUUUUGGAGUUCUGAGAGUUGCAUGUGGAUUUUUGAGCAUUUUAUCCAUCAAAUCAUCUUGCGGUAGGAGCAAGUAACUCUGUCAUGCUCUCCAAUAUAUCUC
rnacentral:lncRNA from 1 species